AGCUCUGCACGCACAUCUCGGAAUGUGGCUUUGCACAUCCAAAAGUUCUUCCGCUAUUACUUGUCAUACCAUAGCUGCAUAAUUGUGUGAUCCCACUAGUUACGACUUCUUUCUCAGGCCCAGAACUGGUGAUCUGUGAAUGCCAGCGACCAGCCUGAGUUGUUUCUUACGACUUCUUUCUCAGGCCCAGAACUGGUGAUCUGUGAAUGCUAGCGACCAGCCUGUGAUGUUUCUAUGUCCCACAGCAAGUUAACCUCCAAGAGGCAUUGCAAACCUUUCGCAUAACACCUUGUGCUAGAAGGUGGCAAGCUACCCAUGAUGCAUUGCAGCCUGCAGCAAUGCAAAGGCCGACAAGAUCUGGGAUCUGAACUCACCUUGGAACUUCUGGAAAGUGUGAAAUUUGGAUUCGGACUUUGUGAUUACUCCUUCCACCCCAAUCUGUAUAAUGGACUGAGGCAGGCUCAGCUCUAUACUUUAGACAUAGCUCUGUCCCU